AGUGAACGCUGGCGGUAGGCCUAACACAUGCAAGUCGAACGGCAGCACAGUAAGAGCUUGCUCUUACGGGUGGCGAGUGGCGGACGGGUGAGGAAUACAUCGGAAUCUACUUUUUCGUGGGGGAUAACGUAGGGAAACUUACGCUAAUACCGCAUACGACCUACGGGUGAAAGCAGGGGAUCUUCGGACCUUGCGCGAUUGAAUGAGCCGAUGUCGGAUUAGCUGGUUGGCGGGGUAAAGGCCCACCAAGGCGACGAUCCGUAGCUGGUCUGAGAGGAUAAUCAGCCACACUGGAACUGAGACACGGUCCAGACUCCUACGGGAGGCAGCAGUGGGGAAUAUUGGACAAUGGGCGCAAGCCUGAUCCAGCCAUACCGCGUGGGUGAAGAAGGCCUUCGGGUUGUAAAGCCCUUUUGUUGGGAAAGAAAAGCAGCAGGUUAAUACCCCGCUGUUCUGACGGUACCCAAAGAAUAAGCACCGGCUAACUUCGUG
rnacentral:rRNA from 1 species